CUACGGGGUGCAGCAGUGGGGAAUAUUGCACAAUGGGGGAAACCCUGAUGCAGCAACGCCGCGUGGAGGAUGACACAUUUCGGUGCGUAAACUCCUUUUAUAGGUCAAGAUAAUGACGGUAGCCUAUGAAUAAGCGCCGGCUAACUCCGUGCCAGCAGCCGCGGUAAUACGGAGGGCGCAAGCGUUACUCGGAAUCACUGGGCGGAAAGAGCAUGUAGGCGGGUUAAUAAGUCAGAAGUGAAAUCCAAUAGCUCAACUAUUGAACUGCUUUUGAAACUGUUAACCUAGAGUGUGGGAGAGGUAGAUGGAAUUUCUGGUGUAGGGGUAAAAUCCGUAGAGAUCAGAAGGAAUACCGAUUGCGAAGGCGAUCUACUGGAACAUUACUGACGCUGAGAUGCGAAAGCGUGGGGAGCAAACAGGAUUAGAUACCCCCGUAGUC
rnacentral:rRNA from 1 species